AACACAAUAAAAUAUACAGAUGCUAUAGAGCUGGACACCUGAAACCUAUAGAAUUGUAUUCACCAAUGUCACCCCAAUAAAUUCAAU